UUCACUAUGAAGCUUUUAUUACCGAGUUGAAACCUUAUCUGUUCUUAUCAGUUUAAUAUAUGGUCCCCAGAUAGGGGACGUAUCAGAUAUUAAAUGGAUUUUUGGAACAGGGAGAUGGAAGAAGAGCUUGCUCUGUCCACUCCACGCAUCGACCUGGUAUUGCAGUACCUCCAGGACCGGUGCACCUCUC
rnacentral:snRNA from 1 species